rnacentral:rRNA from 1 species
UACGAAGGGGGCUAGCGUUGCUCGGAAUGACUGGGCGUAAAGGGCGCGUAGGCGGCUCAUACAGUCAGAUGUGAAAUUCCUGGGCUUAACCUGGGGGCUGCAUUCGAUACGGGCUAGCUAGAGUGUGGUAGGGGGAGAUCGGAAUUCCUGGUGUAGCGGUGAAAUGCGCAGAUAUCAGGAGGAACACCGGUGGCGAAGGCGGAUCUCUGGGCCAUUACUGACGCUGAGGAGCGAAAGCGUGGGGGAGCGAACAGG